AACGCGAAGAACCUUACCCAGGUUUGACAUGUGCUUGACCGCGACAGAAAUGUCGUUUUCCGAAAGGACAAGUACACAGGUGCUGCAUGGCUGUCGUCAGCUCGUGCCGUGAGGUGUUGGGUUAAGUCCCGCAACGAGCGCAACCCUUAUCACUAGUUGCCAGCACUUCGGGUGGGAACUCUAGUGAGACUGCCUGGGUUAACCAGGAGGAAGGUGAGGAUGACGUCAAGUCAGCAUGGCCCUUAUGUCUGGGGCGACACACGUGCUACAAUGGCCGGUACAGAAGGCAGCAAGACCGCAAGGUGGAGCAAAUCCCAAAAGCCGGCCUCAGUUCGGAUUGUAGUCUGCAACUCGGCUACAUGAAGUUGGAAUUGCUAGUAAUGGCGCGUCAGCCAUAGCGCCGUGAAUACGUUCCCGGGCCUUGUACACACCGACGCAC
rnacentral:rRNA from 1 species